ACACAUGCAAGUCGAACGAUGAACCUCACUUGUGGGGGGAUUAGUGGCGAACGGGUGAGUAACACGUGAGUAACCUGCCCUUGACUCUGGGAUAAGCCUGGGAAACCGGGUCUAAUACUGGAUACGACCUUCUGGCGCAUGCCAUGUUGGUGGAAAGCUUUUGUGGUUUUGGAUGGACUCGCGGCCUAUCAGCUUGUUGGUGGGGUAAUGGCCUACCAAGGCGACGACGGGUAGCCGGCCUGAGAGGGUGACCGGCCACACUGGGACUGAGACACGGCCCAGACUCCUACGGGAGGCAGCAGUGGGGAAUAUUGCACAAUGGGCGCAAGCCUGAUGCAGCGACGCCGCGUGAGGGAUGAAGGCCUUCGGGUUGUAAACCUCUUUCAGUAGGGAAGAAGUCCAUCUUUUGGGUGGGUGACGGUACCUGCAGAAGAAGCGCCGGCUAACUACGUGCCAGCAGCCGCGGUAAUACGUAGGGCGCAAGCGUUAUCCGGAAUUAUUGGGCGUAAAGAGCUCGUAGGCGGUUUGUCGCGUCUGCCGUGAAAGUCCGGGGCUUAACUCCGGAUCUGCGGUGGGUACGGGCAGACUAGAGUGCAGUAGGGGAGACUGGAAUUCCUGGUGUAGCGGUGAAAUGCGCAGAUAUCAGGAGGAACACCGAUGGCGAAGGCAGGUCUCUGGGCUGUAACUGACGCUGAGGAGCGAAAGCAUGGGGAGCGAACAGGAUUAGAUACCCUGGUAGUCCAUGCCGUAAACGUUGGGCACUAGGUGUGGGGGACAUUCCACGUUUUCCGCGCC
rnacentral:rRNA from 1 species